rnacentral:rRNA from 1 species
AUUGAACGCUGGCGGCAUGCUUUACACAUGCAAGUCGAACGGCAGCACGGGAGCUUGCUCCUGGUGGCGAGUGGCGAACGGGUGAGUAAUGCAUCGGAACGUACCCAGUAGUGGGGGAUAGCCCGGCGAAAGCCGGAUUAAUACCGCAUAUUUCCUGAGGGAGAAAGCGGGGGGACCUUCGGGCCUCGCGCUACUGGAGCGGCUGAUGUCGGAUUAGCUAGUUGGUGAGGUAAAGGCUCACCAAGGCGACGAUCCGUAGCGGGUCUGAGAGGAUGAUCCGCCACACUGGGACUGAGACACGGCCCAGACUCCUACGGGAGGCAGCAGUGGGGAAUUUUGGACAAUGGGCGAAAGCCUGAUCCAGCCAUGCCGCGUGAGUGAAGAAGGCCUCGGUUGGUUAAA